rnacentral:rRNA from 1 species
AGAGUUUGAUCCUGGCUCAGAAUGAACGCUGGCGGCGUGCUUAACACAUGCAAGUCGAACGAGAAAGGGAUUGCUUGCAGUCCCGAGUAGAGUGGCGCACGGGUGAGUAACACGUAGAUAAUCUGCCUUCAAGCCUGGGAUAACUAUUCGAAAGGGUAGCUAAUACCGGAUAAAGUCGAUCUACACAAGUAGAUUGAUGAAAGAUUGCCUCUUCUUGAAAGCAAUUGUUUGGAGAUGAGUUUGCGUACCAUUAGCUUGUUGGUGGGGUAAAGGCCUACCAAGGCAACGAUGGUUAGCUGGUCUGAGAGGAUGAUCAGCCACACUGGAACUGGAACACGGUCCAGACUCCUACGGGAGGCAGCAGUGAGGAAUUUUGCGCAAUGGGGGCAACCCUGACGCAGCAACGCCGCGUGAGUGAAGAAGGCCUUUGGGUCGUAAAGCUCUGUCAAUGGGGAAGAAGUUGUGUGGUUCGAAUAGGGCCAUGCAUUGACGGUACCCAUGAAGGAAGCACCGGCUAACUCCGUGCCAGCAGCCGCGGUAAUAAGGGCGAAUUCGCGGCCGCUAAAUUCAAUUCG